AGAGUUUGAUCCUGGCUCAGGACGAACGCUGGCGGCGUGCCUAAUACAUGCAAGUAGAACGCUGAAGAGAGGAGCUUGCUCUUCUUGGAUGAGUUGCGAACGGGUGAGUAACGCGUAGGUAACCUGCCUUGUAGCGGGGGAUAACUAUUGGAAACGAUAGCUAAUACCGCAUAACAAUGGAUGACACAUGUCAUUUAUUUGAAAGGGGCAAUUGCUCCACUACAAGAUGGACCUGCGUUGUAUUAGCUAGUAGGUGAGGUAACGGCUCACCUAGGCGACGAUACAUAGCCGACCUGAGAGGGUGAUCGGCCACACUGGGACUGAGACACGGCCCAGACUCCUACGGGAGGCAGCAGUAGGGAAUCUUCGGCAAUGGGGGCAACCCUGACCGAGCAACGCCGCGUGAGUGAAGAAGGUUUUCGGAUCGUAAAGCUCUGUUGUAAGUCAAGAACGAGUGUGAGAGUGGAAAGUUCACACUGUGACGGUAGCUUACCAGAAAGGGACGGCUAACUACGUGCCAGCAGCCGCGGUAAUACGUAGGUCCCGAGCGUUGUCCGGAUUUAUUGGGCGUAAAGCGAGCGCAGGCGGUUUGAUAAGUCUGAAGUUAAAGGCUGUGGCUCAACCAUAGUUCGCUUUGGAAACUGUCAAACUUGAGUGCAGAAGGGGAGAGUGGAAUUCCAUGUGUAGCGGUGAAAUGCGUAGAUAUAUGGAGGAACACCGGUGGCGAAAGCGGCUCUCUGGUCUGUAACUGACGCUGAGGCUCGAAAGCGUGGGGAGCGAACAGGAUUAGAUACCCUGGUAGUCCACGCCGUAAACGAUGAGUGCUAGGUGUUGGAUCCUUUCCGGGAUUCAGUGCCGCAGCUAACGCAUUAAGCACUCCGCCUGGGGAGUACGACCGCAAGGUUGAAACUCAAAGGAAUUGACGGGGGCCCGCACAAGCGGUGGAGCAUGUGGUUUAAUUCGAAGCAACGCGAAGAACCUUACCAGGUCUUGACAUCCCGAUGCUAUUUCUAGAGAUAGAAAGUUACUUCGGUACAUCGGUGACAGGUGGUGCAUGGUUGUCGUCAGCUCGUGUCGUGAGAUGUUGGGUUAAGUCCCGCAACGAGCGCAACCCCUAUUGUUAGUUGCCAUCAUUCAGUUGGGCACUCUAGCGAGACUGCCGGUAAUAAACCGGAGGAAGGUGGGGAUGACGUCAAAUCAUCAUGCCCCUUAUGACCUGGGCUACACACGUGCUACAAUGGUUGGUACAACGAGUUGCGAGUCGGUGACGGCAAGCUAAUCUCUUAAAGCCAAUCUCAGUUCGGAUUGUAGGCUGCAACUCGCCUACAUGAAGUCGGAAUCGCUAGUAAUCGCGGAUCAGCACGCCGCGGUGAAUACGUUCCCGGGCCUUGUACACACCGCCCGUCACACCACGAGAGUUUGUAACACCCGAAGUCGGUGAGGUAACCUUUUGGAGCCAGCCGCCUAAGGUGGGAUAGAUGAUUGGGGUGAAGUCGUAACAAGGUAGCC
rnacentral:rRNA from 1 species